rnacentral:piRNA from 1 species
AAAUCACUGUAGAUGAGUACUGGCAG